UACGGAGGGUGCAAGCGUUAUCCGGAUUCCCUGGGUUUAAAGGGUGCGUAGGUGGGCAGUUAAGUCAGUGGUGAAAUCUCCGGGCUCAACCCGGAAACUGCCAUUGAUACUAUCUGUCUUGAAUAUCGUGGAGGUAAGCGGAAUAUGUCAUGUAGCGGUGAAAUGCUUAGAUAUGACAUAGAACACCAAUUGCGAAGGCAGCUUACUACCCGAAUAUUGACACUGAGGCACGAAAGCGUGGGGAUCAAACAGG
rnacentral:rRNA from 1 species